rnacentral:rRNA from 1 species
CUGGGAGACUUGAGUGCAGAAGAGGACAGUGGAACUCCAUGUGUAGCGGUGGAAUGCGUAGAUAUAUGGAAGAACACCAGUGGCGAAGGCGGCUGUCUAGUCUGUAACUGACGCUGAGGCUCGAAAGCAUGGGUAGCGAACAGGAUUAGAUACCCUGGUAGUCCAUGCCGUAAACGAUGAGUGCUAAGUGUUGGAGGGUGUCCCCCUUCAGUGCUGCAGCUAACGCAUUAAGCACUCCGCCUGGGGAGUACGACCGCAAGGUUGAAACUCAAAGGAAUUGACGGGGGCCCGCACAAGCGGUGGAGCAUGUGGUUUAAUUCGAAGCUACGCGAAGAACCUUACCAGGUCUUGACAUCUUCUGCCAAUCUUAGAGAUAAGACGUUCCCUUCGGGGACAGAAUGACAGGUGGUGCAUGGUUGUCGUCAGCUCGUGUCGUGAGAUGUUGGGUUAAGUCCCGCAACGAGCGCAACCCUUAUUAUCAGUUGCCAGCAUUCAGUUGGGCACUCUGGUGAGACUGCCGGUGACAAACCGGAGGAAGGUGGGGAUGACGUCAAAUCAUCAUGCCCCUUAUGACCUGGGCUACACACGUGCUACAAUGGACGGUACAACGAGUCGCGAAGUCGUGAGGCUAAGCUAAUCUCUUAAAGCCGUUCUCAGUUCGGAUUGUAGGCUGCAACUCGCCUACAUGAAGUUGGAAUCGCUAGUAAUCGCGGAUCAGCAUGCCGCGGUGAAUACGUUCCCGGGCCUUGUACACACCGCCCGUCACACCAUGAGAGUUUGUAACACCCAAAGCCGGUGAGAUAACCUUCGGGAGUCAGCCGUCUAAGGUGGGACAGAUGAUUAGGGUGAAGUCGUAACAAGGUAA